CCUAGGAAACAAGAUGCUAAUACCGGAUAACAACAGAUGAUGCCUAUCAACUGUUUAAAAGAUGGUUCUGCUAUCACUCUUGGAUGGACCUGCGGUGCAUUAGCUAGUUGGUAGGGUAACGGCCUACCAAGGCGAUGAUGCAUAGCCGAGUUGAGAGACUGAUCGGCCACAUUGGGACUGAGACACGGCCCAAACUCCUACGGGAGGCAGCAGGC
rnacentral:rRNA from 1 species